rnacentral:rRNA from 1 species
GUCGUACGGGACUCGAGGGGCAACUCUUGAGUUCAGUGGCAGACGGGUGCGUAACACGUGAGGAACCUGUCCGGUGGCGGGGGAUAGCCGGCCCAACGGCCGGGUAAUACCGCAUACGCUCGUUUGGGGGCAUCCCUGGGCGAGGAAAGCAGCCGCAAGGUUGCGCCGACGGAGGGUCUCGCGGCCUAUCAGCUUGUUGGCGGGGUCACGGCCCACCAAGGCGACGACGGGUAGCUGGUCUGAGAGGAUGAUCAGCCACAUUGGGACUGAGACACGGCCCAGACUCCUACGGGAGGCAGCAGUGGGGAAUCUUGCGCAAUGGCCGCAAGGCUGACGCAGCGACGCCGCGUGUGGGAUGACGGUCUUCGGAUUGUAAACCACUGUCAGGGGGAACGAAUACCAAGCGUCGAAUAGGCGACUUGGGGUGACGGUACCUCCAAAGGAAGCACCGGCUAACUCCGUGCCAGCAGCCGCGGUAAUACGGAGGGUGCGAGCGUUGUCCGGAAUCACUGGGCGUAAAGGGCGCGUAGGCGGUUCGGUAAGUUGCUGGUGAAAUCCCGGGGCUCAACUCCGGGGCUGCCGGCACGACUGUCGGACUUGAGCACGGUAGGGGCAGAUGGAAUUCCCGGUGUAGCGGUGGAAUGUGUAGAGAUCGGGAAGAAUACCAGUGGCGAAGGCGUUCUGCUGGGCCGUUGCUGACGCUGAGGCGCGACAGCGUGGGGAGCAAACAGGAUUAGAUACCCUGGUAGUCCACGCCGUAAACGAUGGACACUAGGCGUCGGGGGGAGCGACCCUCCCGGUGCCGUCGCUAACGCAGUAAGUGUCCCGCCUGGGGAGUACGGCCGCAAGGCUGAAACUCAAAGGAAUUGACGGGGG